UACGGAGGGUGCAAGCGUUGUCCGGAUUUAUUGGGCUUAAAGGGUGCGUAGGCGGUCUUUUAAGUCCGCGGUGAAAUCCUCCAGCUUAACUGGAGAACUGCCAUUGAUACUGGAAGACUUGAGUACAGACGAGGUAGGCGGAAUUGACAGUGUAGCGGUGAAAUGCAUAGAUAUUGUCAAGAACACCGAUGGCGAAGGCAGCUUACUAGACUGUAACUGACGCUGAGGCACGAAAGUGUGGGGAGCAAACAGG
rnacentral:rRNA from 1 species